UGAAUUAUUAACCAGUGGGGGACUAUAAAAUGUAUGUAUUGCCAUGCAAUAUGCACAUAAUAGAUAUAGAAAGAUGUGAUAUGAGUGCCAAUGAGACAUCUCUCCAUCAAGUAAUAUAUUAUUAAAGUAAACCAUUAUAGGUCAAGGUACAGCCUUUAACACAGAGCUUUGGCUCUCAUUGAACAUCAAGCUGAAAGGGCCCCAAAAAUUACUAGUGUACAUGGUGUAAAACAUUACAAACAGGAAAACCAAUGGUCUAAUUUGUGUAAAAACAAAAAAAUGAGAAACACAUAAAAACCACAUACACAGACCUCAACCACUGAACCUCAGAUUGUUUUAUUAUAAAAAAAAAUCUUAAGAAAAAAG
rnacentral:lncRNA from 1 species